GAUGAACGCUGGAGGCGGGCCUAAUACAUGCAAGUCGAGCGAAGCGGGGACGGGUGAGAAACACGUGGAUAACCUCCUAUAAGACUGGGAUAACGUCGGGAAACCGGAGAGAAACCGGAAACUUAUAGAUGGAUCCGAGCUGCAUUAGCUAGUUUGUAAGGUAACGGCUUACCAAGGCAACGAUGCAUAGCCGACCUGAGAGGGUGAUCGGCCACACUGGAACUGAGACACGGUCCAGACUCCUACGGGAGGCAGCAGUAGGGAAUCUUCCGCAAUGGGCGAAAGCCUUACGGAGCCACGCCGCUUGAGUGAUGAAGGUCUUCGGAUCGUAAAACUCUGUUAUUAGGGAAGCGGUACCUAAUCAGAAAGCCCCGGCUAACUACGUGCCAGCAGCCGCGGUAAUUC
rnacentral:rRNA from 1 species